rnacentral:misc_RNA from 1 species
GAUGAAGAACGUAGCGAAAUGCGAUACGUAAUGUGAAUUGCAAAUUCAGUGAAUCAUCGAGUCUUUGAACGCACAUUGCGCCCCCUGGUAUUCCGGUGGGCAUGCCUGUCCGAGCGUCAUUGCUGCCCUCAAGCACGGCUUGUGUGUUGGGCCCCGUCCUCCGAUCCCGGGGGACGGGCCCGAAAGGCAGCGGCGGCACCGCGUCCGGUCCUCGAGCGUAUGGGGCUUUGUCACCCGCUCUGUAGGCCCGGCCGGCGCUUGCCGAUCAACCCAAAUUUUUAUCCAGGUUGACCUCGGAUCAGGUAGGGAUACCCGCUGAACUUAAGCAUAUCAUAAGCGGAGGA